GGGAAACUACUCAAAUGUUGGAAAACUUCCCUACCAGUUCUCUAGUAGACCCAAGUCUGUUUGGUUGCCUGGAGGAGGACGUCUGACUAGGUCUCCUACAUUCAGGCUAAUUUGUCACCUGUCUCCUGGGAGUGCAAUCCAGCAGCAGUGCUGCCCACAGCUCCUCCUACUCCUGUUUACUACCAGACCUCUACCGAGGAUGUGGAGAAACACAGGUGGGCUGGCAUGGAGAAACCUACUGCCUGGUUGGUGACUACAGGGCCUAUGGGGAUGCUGCCAUCCCCACCCCAACAAAGCCCAGAGAAGAGAAGCCAGCAUCCAGGUGGCCCUAUAGGAAUCCUUCCAUUGUUAUCCCAGCAAAGGCUCAAAGCUGAGAAGCCAACAGCCAGCAGUGCCGCCCACAGCUCCUCCUACUCCUGUUUACUACCACAUCCUCUACUGAGGAUGUAGAGAAAUCCAGGUGGGCUGGCAUGGAAAGACCGACUGCCUGGUUGGCUGCUACUGAGUCUAUGGAAAUGUUUCCAUCACCACCCUAGCAAAGGCCACAGAAGAGAAGCCAAAAUCCAUGUGGGCUGCCAAGAGACCUCCACCUAUGGGAGAAUAUAACCAUCAAGAAGACUGACAUAAUCCUAAAAUUCACCAUGUUAACAAUGGUAACAAGACCCCAUGACAGUGUUAGCUGAGCCACCCUGUUGAGAGGAUGGACACUGAGUGGACUAGGACAGCUAAUUUCUCUUCUCCAGUGACCUCCACUGCCAGUCCCUGGAGAUACAACCUGGCCCAUUCUGCCUCAGCUUUUCUCAGCAAGGAUCCCUCUUCAGUGCCAACUAGCUAUGGGACAGGAGCCUCAGAAACUGGGGUUGAAAGUAAGCUGUAAAUAUCAGGGCUUAAGCUGGUUAGAAGUAGGCCUGAUGCUCCUCUGCUCAGUCCUCUACAUUCGUUUCUUGUUCAGAAGAAACACCUGUCUGCACUCUGCAAGCCAAGCAGGAGUGAAGUGCACAGUAACCUAGCUGGAGCCCUAUCUCUACAGAUGGACUCCUGACAGCAUAGCUAGCAACCAUCAGCGCAAAACGAGAGUGUCUUGGGGUCUUAAAAUUGGAAGAAGCAAGCAGGAGCUACACAGGGAGCCUUCUGCCUGGGAUCUCAGGAGGCAGAACAAAGAGCACCAGGGACAUCUGCUACCUGAGCAGGAAUGGCAUGGACAAAGUCCAGCAACAACCCCACUCAGGCUUCUAUGCUCCUUUGUUUCCAGCCAUUUGUGGCCUCUGCAUGGUUCCUAUUGCUCAAAAAAGUUUUUCUGUAAUAGCAUUUGACUAGAAAUCCAGCUUUUCCAAGGCCAAUGCUAAAACUUGCCAUUCUCCUGAAGUACUUUCCUACACACAGGACCUGCUUUUCCAUAGUCUCUGCCUACAAGGGAUCCUUAGCUGUAGUUUUUAACAGUGUGGCACCUGAAAUAAGGCUGAGGCAAAUUUGGACUAGACCCAGCCCUGUAUCUUAAGACGUGGAGAACCUUGGGUUGGGGGUGUAGCUCAGUGGUAGAUCAUGUGCUUAGUAUGUGCCAGGUCCUGGGUAUAGUACACAGCACUAUUAAACAUAAAACUAAAACAAUCACCUAUUUCAUGUUUCUAUGAAUGUAUGUAUGUGUGUGUGUGUGUGUGUCUGUGUCUCUGGGUGAGUGUCUGUGUGUACAUACAUGCAUGUGUUUUGGAAAAGAAGAGCAAG
rnacentral:lncRNA from 1 species